UACGUAGGGUGCAAGCGUUGUCCGGAAUUAUUGGGCGUAAAGAGCUCGUAGGCGGUCUGUCGCGUCGGCUGUGAAAACUCACAGCUCAACUGUGGGCGUGCGGGCGAUACGGGCAGACUGGAGUACUGCAGGGGAGACUGGAAUUCCUGGUGUAGCGGUGGAAUGCGCAGAUAUCAGGAGGAACACCGGUGGCGAAGGCGGGUCUCUGGGCAGUAACUGACGCUGAGGAGCGAAAGCGUGGGGAGCGAACAGG
rnacentral:rRNA from 1 species